GAUGAACGCUGGCGGCGUGCCUAAUACAUGCAAGUCGAGCGAACAGAUGAGGAGCUUGCUCCUCUGACGUUAGCGGCGGACGGGUGAGUAACACGUGGAUAACCCACCUAUAAGACUGGGAUAACUUCGGGAAACCGGAGCUAAUACCGGAUAAUCUAUUGAACCGCAUGGUUCAAUAGUGAAGGAUGGUUUUGCUGUCACUUAUAGGUGGAUCCGCGCCGCAUUAGCUAGUUGGUAAGGUAACGGCUUACCAAGGCAACGAUGCGUAGCCGACCUGAGAGGAUGAUCGGCCACACUGGAACUGAGACACGGUCCAGACUCCUACGGGAGGCGGCAGUAGGGAAUCUUCCGCAAUGCGCGAAAGCGUGACGGAGCAACGCCGCGUGAGUGAUGAAGGUCUUCGGAUCGUAAAACUCUGUUAGUAGGGAAGAACAAAUGUGUAAGUAACGAUGCACGUCUUGACGGUACCUAAUCAGAAAGCCACGGCUAACUACGUG
rnacentral:rRNA from 1 species